GGAUAGCUCAGUUGGUUACGGCGUGGUGCUGAUAAUGCUAAGGUUGCAGGUUCAAUCUCUGUAUGAAUAGCUGCA